ensembl:snRNA U6 U6 spliceosomal RNA
UUACUUCAGCAGUACAAACACUAAAAUUGGAAUAAUACACAGAAUAUUAGCAUGGUCCCUGCUUAAGGGUGACAUGCAAAUUUUGUGAAGCUUUCUAUAUGUUU